rnacentral:rRNA from 1 species
CGACCGGCGGACGGGUGCGUAACGCGUAUGCAACCUGCCUGACACAGGGGGAUAAUCCGAAGAAAUUUGGUCUAAUACCCCAUAAUACCGAUAUAGGCAUCUAUGUUGGUUGAAAGCUUUGGUGGUGUCAGAUGGGCAUGCGUUGUAUUAGCUAGUUGGUGAGGUAACGGCUCACCAAGGCGACGAUACAUAGGGGGACUGAGAGGUUAACCCCCCCACACUGGUACUGAGACACGGACCAGACUCCUACGGGAGGCAGCAUG